AUGUCUGAACAAAAUAUGGCAGAGGAGCAAGGUGAUGACAAUGCAGAGGAGGCUGGGCAGAACAUGGAAGAGGGGCAAGGUGAUGAGCAAUUCAAUGAGGAAGAAAUUGAGCAGUAUAUGGCAGAUGCUGAGGAAGAGGAUGAGGCUGAUGUGGAAGAGGAACAGGAGGAAGAUGUUGUGGAAGAGGAACAUGAUGAAUAUGCACAGUCAGAUGUAGAUGAUGGCAGUCUUUCUCAUGCUGGAAGAGGAGUUAGUGAUUCAGAAAAUGGGGAUGAAAUUGUGGACAGUGAUUAUGCUAUAUCUGAUGGAGAUGUAGAUCUUCUAGAAGAUCAAAUAGAAGAGGUGGUAAUAGAUGUAAAAGGAAAGAAAGCUGCAGAUAUUGGAGCUUCUUCUGAUGAGGAAGAUCUUGAGAUGCCAGAUUCUGAUGAGGAUGAGCUGAAGCACAACUUCAAUACAUUCAGGCCAGAAGAUAUGCAUGAUCCUGUGUUCAAAGUUGGACAGUUAUUCCAGUCACCAGAGAUGUUAAGGAAAGCCAUUAGGGAAUAUUUAAAUUGUUAG
rnacentral:rRNA from 1 species